GGAGGCUACGGUUCAGUGGUAGAGUGUGUGCUUAGCAUGCAUUAAGGUCCUGGGUUCAAUCCCCUGUACCUCCU
rnacentral:tRNA from 1 species